UAUAGACAAAAGUAAAACGUCAAAAAUUUAAGUAGAUUUAGCUGCGGUUGGGAAAUAUGUAACUGACGUAAUGUGGCUGAAAUAAAAAUCUUUUAGCGACAUCUGCCGAUAUAAAACUAAGCAGUUGCAUUGCUUCCACUUUUCGUGCGAGUAAAAACUUAUAAUAUUACUUCCCGCUACUGGAAGAGAAAUUGUGAUAUUUUUUAAAAAUAGUUGAUCCUUUAGUGCUUGUUAAUGUGCAAAGCUUUACAUAUGCGUGCGUGAAUUUAAUGUGAAUAGCUCAAGAAGUUAUUACAAUUUAUCAUGUAGAGAAAGUGCACUUCCGUUUCCUGAGAAAUUGGCGUUUUGUAAGCUAUUUUCGGCCGUCCUCCUCCUACAAUUUGUGGUAUAGUAUCUUGAUGGAUGUUUUUUCGACAAAUGGAGGGACCUAUAGUUAAUACUAAGCCGCCUCCGACCGACUGUGUUUUUUUAUUUAGAGCUUUAUUUAACUAAUAUUUUAUUGAUGACAAUUAUAAUGAUGAUGAUAUGGAGCUGGAGGGUGUCAUGCUACUUGUACAUCAUUAAAUUUAUGAAUUAACAUCAAAAACGGGAAUUAAAUGGAAGCGGCGGGAUUUUGAUGCACCAAAUUCUCAACAAGAAUAUUUUGGAGCUUCACAAAUACUGUGAACAAUUUUUUUAUGAUGAACUUUUUCAACAUUUGUAAGCUGUUCAAGAAAUAAACAUAAAUACAAAUAAAUAA